CCUCUAUGUCUAUCUCUCCCUUUUUCCCUUUGUUUCUAUCUCUUCCCUUUCUUCUGUCCAUUUUUUCUGUCUCUCCUCUUUACCUUUGUCUUUCUGCCUUCUCUCCCUUUUUCCCUCUUCUGUCUAUCUCCCAUGACUGAUUUCACACUGAAUAGCCCUUUGCUGAUGACCCCACAAAGAAACGAAGCCCUGGGUCUGGGUGCCUGGCACCUAGUAGGCACUUCAUAACCUUGUCUUUCUGUGAAAGCAGACGUGAAUUGUCUGGGUCUGAAGAAUCUCUUGAGCGUAGAGACGGGCUCUGAAUUCAGAUGAUCACAUUCGGGGCAGGAAGAGGCCUCAGAAGUCGUGUGGGACAAGGGUCACCCAUUUCAGAGGUGAGGAAGCUCCAUUCUACAGCUUUGGAACAUUGCUCAGGUAGUCAAGGGUAGAGCCACAAGUUGACCCCAGGUAUUCUCUAUCUAUUUGCAACCCGGGGAACCUUAGAACACAGAACCUAGAAUGACAAGGCUGGAAGAGACCGUGGAUGGGACAUAAUGGCCAACAUUAGAAGGAACCUUUGAGCACAGAAUGGCUAAAAUGUGGAAGACUUCUGAGAACCCACAAUGUCAGAGCUGGGAGUGACCUUAGCAGAGUUCUAGGUCCUCCUGCAGUGUUACAGAGGAAGAGCCUGAUGCCCAGAGAAGGCCACCCAGGAGAUGAGUGGUAGAACCUGGCUAGUGCUUGUGGUUCCUCACAGCUCCAUUUUGCCCCAUGCUAUUCUGGGGUCCAGGCCCCCAAGAGCCCCUUCUUCCUCCGCAGAUCCACCAUUCAGGCUAUCCAGCAGAGGUGGUAGCACUAGAAAAGCAGAAGAUCCCAAUGGCAGGUUUCUCUCCCCCACCGUCAGGAAGCUGAGUGGAUGGGCCCUUAUACUCCUUGUGUUCUUCGUCCUUCCUCCCAGAGGUGGGAAAGUGGUCCCAUUGGGGACUCCAAAAUGACAGCUUCAUCCAAGGAGAUCAUCUCUAAUGCUGACAUGGAGAGCCUUUGGAAGAACAUUCAGGACAUUGAGAGAUUCAAAGAAAAAAAAACCCUUCAUAUAAGGCUGAUCCUGUGGUGGUGGUGUCCAAGGUCAAAAGUCUCAUCACCAGUGACCAGCCUAUCAGACAAGAUUCUCUCCAUCUUUGGGAGAGCCAUUCUCCAGAAAACAGGUUCCAUCCCUUUCCGCUACGGUGCUCCAAAUCUGCACAAACCAAUAGGGUCUGUUUAGCUUGUGUUCUGCUGGGAGAGCUUGGGGUCAGAGAAGAUAGCAAGGACCCUUAACACUGAGUCAGGCUUUGUGGAGGUAUCCAAGAUCAAUCAGCAUGGAUCACCUCCAUCAUUAGGAUCACAGUCUGGUGGUCACUCUUAGCUCGGCCAUGCAUUGUUUUAGCCAUAAGUAAAAAAGAAUCCACCAAACA